rnacentral:lncRNA from 10 species
GUGGGUCAGGGAACUCUCCCAUUUCAAUUGUAUGGGAUCCCAAUUUUUCAUAGGUUUAUCAGUUUUCUCAGAGAAAAAUUCUUCCAUUCGCCCCUGGGUGCUACAAGCCUAGCUGCUAAUGCGCCAAAAGCCAGUUGUAGGAGGGAAACAGUGUAGAGAUGGUCUUCAGUGCCACCAUCCGUCCGUCUUUCUUCCAGCUGUGCCAGAUCUCCCUCUCCCAGGCAGAAUCCUGCAGGAGUGGGGCACGGACAGCUGCCUGGCAAGGAGGGUUAAGAGGAGAAGAACCGGAAGAGAUCUAACUUGGUUUUUAUACGAAGUUUCAACCAGUCCUCCUGUUUUCAGGCCUGCCCAGCACUCCCACCUUCGGAGGAACCAGUUGCCCCCAAAGGCUGAGUCUUUCUGGGAUUCUCAGACUCGUUGAUCUGUUUUUCCUUUGACGUGGGAUUUCACCAUAUUGGCCAGGCUGGUCUCGAACUCCUGACCUCGUGAUCCACUGGCUUCUGCCUCCCAAAGUGCUGGGAUUACAGGUGUGAGCCACCACACUGGCUUACCAAGGCAGACAAGUUCAUCUUCAAGAAAACUAAGAGAUCUCUUCCCCUGACAAAAAACAACUCCAUGUUUGAUGGGACUCAGACCUGGGCUCUUCUGUCACCUCUAGGUAGGGAGGUCUUGGAGAGCAAGUGAGACCAGAGUGUUCAUGGAAAGUCACCAUCCACAGACAUUGGAAAAAUAGUCAUUCCCAAUUUCUGCUAUGUGAUCCCGUUUAGGAGUCACCCUACCAAGUGGGUAUGAUGAUGAAGGUGAGCUGCUAAGAAAGAGGUUGAGAGACAGCUGAUGUUUGUUUCAAGCAAAUCUUCUUUAACCCGAGGCACCAGGAGCAGAGGGCCAGUGGGUAAAAAGGUUAAGUAGGAUGGAAUCUACAAUAAAGCCAAAUGUGUG